GAAGGUGGCAAGCGUUGUUCGGGAAUCACUGGGGCUUAAAGAGAACGUAGGCGGUUUAGCAAGCGUCAUGGGUGAAAGCCCUCGGGCUCAACCGAGGGAAUUGCCUGGCGAACUGCUAGACUUGAGGUCGGCAGAGGCGAGUGGAACUCUUGGUGGAGCGGUGGAGUGCGUAGAUAUCAAGAGGAACGCCGGAGGUGAAGACGGCUCGCUGGACCGAUUCUGACGCUGAGGUUCGAAAGCUAGGGGAGCGAACAGGAUUAGAUACCCUGGUAGUCCUAGCCCUAAACGAUGUCCACUAGGUUGAUAGCGCUCUGACGCGAAAUCGACCGAAGCGAAAGUGAUAAGUGGACCGCCUGGGGAGUACGGUCGCAAGGCUA
rnacentral:rRNA from 1 species